AGUGAACGCUGGCGGUAGGCCUAACACAUGCAAGUCGAACGGCAGCACAGGAGAGCUUGCUCUCUGGGUGGCGAGUGGCGGACGGGUGAGGAAUGCAUCGGAAUCUACUCUUUCGUGGGGGAUAACGUAGGGAAACUUACGCUAAUACCGCAUACGACCUACGGGUGAAAGCCGGGGACCUUCGGGCCUGGCGCGAAUGAAUGAGCCGAUGCCCGAUUAGCUAGUUGGCGGGGUAAGAGCCCACCAAGGCGACGAUCGGUAGCUGGUCUGAGAGGAUGAGCAGCCACACAGGAACUGAGACACGGUCCAGACUCCUACGGGAGGCAGCAGUGGGGAAUAUUGGACAAUGGGCGCAAGCCUGAUCCAGCCGUACCGCGUGGGUGAAGAAGGCCUUCGGGUUGUAAAGCCCUUUUGUUGGGAAAGAAAAGCAGUCGGUUAAUACCCGAUUGUUCUGACGGUACCCAAAGAAUAAGCACCGGCUAACUUCGUGCCAGCAGCCGCCGUAAUAC
rnacentral:rRNA from 1 species